CCUACGGGAGGCAGCAGUAGGGAAUAUUGCUCAAUGGGGGAAACCCUGAAGCAGCAACGCCGCGUGGAGGAUGAAGGUUUUCGGAUUUUAAACUCCUUUUGUUAGAGAAGAUAAUGACGGUAUCUAACGAAUAAGCACCGGCUAACUCCUGGCCAGCAGCCGCGGUAAUACGGGGGGUGCAAGCGUUACUCGGAAUCACUGGGCGUAAAGAGGGCGUAGGCGGGAUAGCAAGUCAGAUGGGAAAUCUUAUGGCUUAACCUUAGAACUGCAUUUGAAACUGUUAUGCUAGAGUAUGGGAGAGGUAGGUGGAAUUCUUGGUGUAGGGGUAAAAUCCGUAGAGAUCAAGAAGAAUACUCAUUGCGAAGGCGACCUGCUAGAACAUAACUGACGCUGAUGCGCGAAAGCGUGGGUAGCAAACAGGAUUAGAUACCCCUGUAGUC
rnacentral:rRNA from 1 species